rnacentral:misc_RNA from 1 species
GAUGAAGAACGCAGCGAAAUGCGAUAAGUAAUGUGAAUUGCAGAAUUCAGUGAAUCAUCGAACCUUUGAACGCACAUUGCGCCCCUUGGUAUUCCGAGGGGCAUGCCUGUUCGAGCGUCAUUAUAACCCCUCAAGCUUAGCUUGGUGUUGGGGCCUGCUGUAAUAGAGCAGCCCUUAAAAUCAGUGGCGGUGCCAUUAGGCUCUAAGCGUAGUAAUUCUUCUCGCUAUAGGGUUCUGGUGGAUGCUUGCCAUUAACCUCUAAUUUUCUAUGGUUGACCUCGGAUCAGGUAGGGAUACCCGCUGAACUUAAGCAUAUCAAUAAGCGGAGGA